rnacentral:rRNA from 1 species
UACAGAGGUCCCGAGCGUUGUUCGGAUUUACUGGGCGUAAAGGGUGCGUAGGUGGCCGGGAAAGUCUGAUGUGAAAUCUCCGAGCUUAACUUGGAAAUGGCAUUGGAAACUAUCUGGCUUGAGGGCCGGAGGGGAGACUGGAAUUCUCGGUGUAGCAGUGAAAUGCGUAGAUAUCGAGAGGAACACCGGUGGCGAAGGCGGCAUCCUGGACCGGCAUUGACGCUGAGGCGCGAAAGCCAGGGGAGCAAACGGG